GAUGAAGAACGUAGUGAAAUGCGAUAAGUAAUGUGAAUUGCAGAAUUCAGUGAAUCAUCGAAUCUUUGAACGCACAUUGCGCCCUCUGGUAUUCCGGGGGGCAUGCCUGUUCGAGCGUCAUUAUAACCACUCAAGCUCUCGCUUGGUAUUGGGGUUCGCGGUUUCGCGGCCCCUAAAAUCAGUGGCGGUGCCUGUCGGCUCUACGCGCAGUAAUACUUCUCGCGAUUGAGUUCGAUAGGUCUACUUGCCAGUAACCCCCAAUUUUUACAGGUUGACCUCGGAUCAGGUAGGGAUACCCGCUGAACUUAAGCAUAUCAAUAAGCGGAGGA
rnacentral:misc_RNA from 1 species